GACAGAGGUCCCGAGCGUUAGGCGGAAUCACUGGGCUUAAAGCGUGUGUAGGCGGAUCGUUAAGUACCUUGUGAAAUCCCACGGCUUAACCGUGGAACUGCUUGGUAUACUGGCGGUCUUGAGCCACUUAGGGGCUACCGGAACAAAUGGUGGAGCGGUGAAAUGCGUAGAUAUCAUUUGGAACGCCAAUGGUGAAAACAGGUAGCUGGGAGUGUGCUGACGCUGAGACGCGAAAGCGUGGGGAGCGAACAGG
rnacentral:rRNA from 1 species